UACAGGUAGUAACUGUCAGGAGGCUGGCUGCCCAGCCAACUAAUUCCUUGGUGUUAUGCCCACCCUAAUGACAGAGCUUCUUUGGGAUAAAAGCCUUUAAUUUCCUCCCCCUUCGGACAGCGCCCCCUGCUGUUAGGUGGAAACAGAUGACUCCCCUCUGCUUGAGUUGGUGCCUGGAGCACUUCUUACCCUGUCGCUCCAGUGCAAAAGGCAGUGCCUCAGCAGCCUGGCCUGUUACAGCUCUACGGGGCUCAGGAGCGCUGGACAGGGCACCUUCCGGUGUCAUCCUACACCUAGAAGGCCUCUUUUGUGAAGCUGGUUUCCUACAAGUGAUGGUUCACGACAAUAUCCACACCAGUGACUACUGUACUUUCUGUUCCUUCGCCCUCCGGGCCUUCAGCAGAGGCAUUUCCACCAAUGAAGAAAACAUUUCUGCUGAGCAAGAGUAA
rnacentral:lncRNA from 1 species